AAAGCUUAGAACAAAUGAAGUAAUGAAGUUAAAAAAAUCUAUUUACAAACCAAAAUGUCUUCUAAACUUCUGACUCGUCAAAGUACCAUCUUUGGCAGAUAUAACAGCUGAACUCACUCAUUCUUUUCAUGAUGGAAAUCAAAAUUCUUCAGAAAGUUCUUCCAACAGUUCUUCCUCCUUCCUCAGUCGUCCAUUGACGAUGUUUCAUGGUCCAGACAAGCCUCUUUUUCUUAUUCUGACGUCUUAGCAACGGCUUUCUGCUGCAGCUCCACCUGUCAAACCUGUAACUCCAAGUCUUCUCUCCACAGUUAAACUUCUUCCUACGACCUCUAUGAAGCUGAUUGAAGCUGUUGUCCUCUGAGCUCCUAUCACCAAGUUGUUGACUCACAAACUGGUCUUCUGGUUCUGUUGUGGCUUUGGGUCUUCUAGACCAGUGUUUCUCAACUGGUGGGUCGCGACCCAAAAGUGGGUCGCGGGGCCGUUUUUGGUGGGUCGCGAGCCUUUUUCUAAAAAGAGAAAAAUAAAGAUAAUCCAAUUUAGUGGCGAGUCAUUGUAGUUCCCCUCCGCACCCGCAGGGGGUCGUCGUGUCAGCAGCGACCGGUGAGGACACUCGUAUUACUGUAGAAGAAACUGCAUGUUUUCAUAGCAACAGCAGCGUGGCUAAACGCAAGUACGACAGCGAGUACAUUAAAUAUGGAUUUUCCUACAUCGAAGACAAAGGAGUCCAAAAGCACGCAUCUGAAUAAACUUUUCGAGCGGUUUAGCGACUACUUUCCCGAUAAACAACCCGAGGACGACUGGGUGCGCGACCCGUUUGGAAUAAACAUGGAAAGCAUCACGUUGCCUAGCAGCGAUGAAUGUCAGCUGGUGGAGCUAUCAUGUGACCGCACUCUCAGAAAGAAAUUCACAGAGAAGCCAAGGUCUGUAGUGGAAAAGGCUCACUGAAGGAAAUGAGGGACACUAUUGAGAAACAUGUACGUGACAAAACCAACAUGUUUGAGAAGGCUAAAGCUGAAAUGUUGAAACAGCUGGAUAACCUGAAGGAGGAGAUCCUGGAGAUACUUAAGGAAACCUUGGAGAAAUCCAUUGAGAACUCACUGAAGACAGAUGAUGACUUAACCCCAGAUGUUACAGCAGAACUUGAGGAAGUGAAGAGAUACUAUGAUGAACUGAAACGCAGCUCAGAAAAAUAGAUGCCACUGUUGUAUGAUAUUUCUAAAUGUCUUUGAUUGUGAACAGUUUUUGUUCUAAAUAAUGAUAAUAAAACCUUUAAUUACAGCAGAGCUGAUGUCCAUGUUCAAGAGAAAAAUGCGAAAUGUGCGCACACUUUCUUUUCCUGGAAAAACAUCCGUCUGUAUGACCAGAAUAAAUGUUGAAUAUGAUCUGUCCUGCUAGAAUUAUACAUAUUGUAUUAUUAUACAUUAUCAUUACAUAGCAAGCAUACCAGAGAAAUACUGCAGACAUACAGAAGAAUAAUGCAACAUACAGGAGAAUACUGCAACAUACAGGAGAAUACUGCAACAUACAGGAGAAAUACUGCAACAUACAGGAGAAAUACUGCAACAUACAGGAGAAUACUGCAGACAUACAGAAUACUGCAGAC